AGCUUUGUGCAGUGGCAGUAUCGUAGCCAAUGAAGUUUAUCUGAGGCACGAUUAUUGCUAAUUAAAAACUCUUCCCCAUACCUCGCAGUGACAACUUGCAAUAUAGUAAGCAUUGGCAAUUUUUGACAGUGUCUACGGAGA
ensembl:snRNA U4 U4 spliceosomal RNA